rnacentral:rRNA from 1 species
UUGAACGCUGGCGGCAGGCCUAACACAUGCCAGUCGAGCGGAUGAAGGGAGCUUGCUCCUGGAUUCAGCGGCGGACGGGUGAGUAAUGCCUAGGAAUCUGCCUGGUAGUGGGGGAUAACGUUCGGAAACGGGCGCUAAUACCGCAUACGUCCUGAGGGAGAAAGUGGGGGAUCUUCGGACCUCACGCUAUCAGAUGAGCCUAGGUCGGAUUAGCUAGUUGGUGGGGUAAAGGCCUACCAAGGCGACGAUCCGUAACUGGUCUGAGAGGAUGAUCAGUCACACUGGAACUGAGACACGGUCCAGACUCCUACGGGAGGCAGCAGUGGGGAAUAUUGGACAAUGGGCGAAAGCCUGAUCCAGCCAUGCCGCGUGUGUGAAGAAGGUCUUCGGAUUGUAAAGCACUUUAAGUUGGGAGGAAGGGCAGUAAGUUAAUACCUUGCUGUUUUGACGUUACCAACAGAAUAAGCACCGGCUAACUUCGUG